rnacentral:tRNA from 1 species
UUUAAGGUGGCAGAUAAAUGCACUAAUCUUAAAAGUUAGAUAUAAAUAUAUAAUUUCCUUAAAA